AGAUCUAUCUUCACAUGCAGUAUUGAAUAAUUUAUCAUUACAUCGUACUCUGGUGCCAUGGAAUUCACUUCAAAAGCCACUUGAAUCUGGAAUGUUCAGAUGUCAGCUACUUGAGAACAGGGACAACACCUCUCUGGUUUACAGCUCCUGGUCCAGGGCCUGGAACAUGUAAGUAAUUAUCUGUGACAUGACAGAGUGUGUACAAGUAGAA